UAAUACGGAGGGUGCAAGCGUUAUCCGGAAUCAUUGGGUUUAAAGGGUCCGUAGGCGGCUUAUUAAGUCAGAGGUGAAAUCCCACAGCUUAACUGUGGAACUGCCUUUGAUACUGGUAGGCUUGAGUUAUAAGGAAGUAGAUAGAAUAUGUAGUGUAGCGGUGAAAUGCAUAGAUAUUACAUAGAAUACCGAUUGCGAAGGCAGUCUACUACUUAUAUACUGACGCUAAGGGACGAAAGCGUGGGGAGCGAACAGGAUUAGAUACCCUGGUAGUCCACGCCGUAAACGAUGGAUACUAGUUGUUGGAUUAUUUCAGUGACUAAGCGAAAGUGAUAAGUAUCCCACCUGGGGAGUACGGUCGCAAGACUG
rnacentral:rRNA from 1 species